AGGAAGUGUAGGGGGACAUCUCCAGUGCCACCUCCGCAUCUGCUCCCAGGCUCUCCUCUUCUUUUCCAAAGCUCGCCGCUCCAGCUGCACUCCCCACCCUGCCCACAGCCUCCUCUGCUCCUGCACUCACUGUAUUCACCAUGGUGCCUUCUAGACGCAUGGAAAUGCUCAAUAAUACCAAUAACUUGGAUCAAGACCCAGAAGCUGUCCACAGCUGCCUGAAGGAAGUGCUGGAGUUUGUGCUGAACUGUGUAGCGGAGAUGGGUCUUGUCCCAGGGGACAAAAAUGCUGCAGUAAUGGUUGUGGCCACUCCUGCCAAAUCGCUGUUUAAAACGAGGAAGACUUCCUUACCGUCUGGAUGAUCAAGGAACCUUAGCCUCCUUCAGUGACCACUCCCAAAUGUCAUCUUUAUUCUAAUACCUUGGAGGAGAGUGGGCUUUCCUACUACAUUUCCUGGCUGCUCUCUAUUCCUAGAACUCCAGUACCACAUGAUGAGGAUCUAAAAUAACUUGAGCAUUCAGUUCUGGCAAUUGUUUGAGAAUCACGGGGUUACUGCUUCCAAAAUUAUCCUUCUUCUGAAUAAAAUUAUUUCUGUGGCAUUA